rnacentral:tRNA from 1 species
AGGGGUUUAGUUAAUAAAUAAUACUAGGGUGUCAAUCUGGAGUAACUCGUCGUAACUCCUU